rnacentral:tRNA from 1 species
GCCUCUGUAGCUCAGUUGGUUAGAGCGCUGCAUCGGAAUCGCAGGGCCGUAGGUUCGAUUCCUACCCGAGGAC